rnacentral:rRNA from 1 species
UACGUAGGGGGCAAGCGUUGUCCGGAUUCAUUGGGCGUAAAGGGUGCGUAGGCGGCGCGGUAAGUCGGGUGUGAAAUUUCGAGGCUUAACUUCGAAACUGCAUUCGAUACUGCCGUGCUAGAGGACUGGAGAGGAGACUGGAAUUUACGGUGUAGCGGUGAAAUGCGUAGAUAUCGUAAGGAAGACCAGUGGCGAAGGCGGGUCUCUGGACAGUUCCUGACGCUGAGGCACGAAGGCCAGGGGAGCAAACGGG